AGAGUUUGAUCCUGGCUCAGGAUGAACGCUGGCGGCAUGCCUAAUACAUGCAAGUCGAACGGAGAAGGAAGGUGCUUGCAUCUUCCGGAUCAGUGGCGAACGGGUGAGUAACACGUAGGUAACCUGCCCAUGUACCCGGGACAACGGUUGGAAACGACUGCUAAAACCGGAUAGGCAUAUGGAAGGCAUCUUCGAUAUGUUAAAGGGGCCACGGCCCUGGACAUGGAUGGACCUGCGGUGCAUUAGCCAGUUGGUGAGGUAACGGCCCACCAAGGCGACGAUGCAUAGCCGACCUGAGAGGGCGAACGGCCACAUUGGGACUGAGACACGGCCCAAACUCCUACGGGAGGCAGCAGUAGGGAAUUUUCGUCAAUGGGGGGAACCCUGAACGAGCAAUGCCGCGUGAGUGAAGACGGUCUUCGGAUUGUAAAGCUCUGUUGCGAGAGAAAAAGGACAGGAAGAGGGAAUGCUUCCGGUUUGAUGGUAUCUCGCCAGAAAGUCACGGCUAACUACGUGCCAGCAGCCGCGGUAAUACGUAGGUGGCGAGCGUUAUCCGGAAUGAUUGGGCGUAAAGGGUACGUAGGCGGCCAGAUAAGUCUGGUGUGAAAGGCUGCAGCUCAACUGCAGCACUGCACUGGAAACUGUCCGGCUGGAGUGCAGAAGAGGGCGAUGGAACUCCAUGUGUAGCGGUAAAAUGCGUAGAUAUAUGGAAGAACACCGGUGGCGAAGGCGGUCGCCUGGUCUGCAACUGACGCUGAAGUACGAAAGCGUGGGGAGCAAAUAGGAUUAGAUACCCUAGUAGUCCACGCCGUAAACGAUGAGAACUAGGUGUUGGGGGAAUAACUCAGUGCCGCAGUCAACGCAAUAAGUUCUCCGCCUGGGGAGUAUGCACGCAAGUGUGAAACUCAAAGGAAUUGACGGGGGCCCGCACAAGCGGUGGAGUAUGUGGUUUAA
rnacentral:rRNA from 1 species